rnacentral:rRNA from 1 species
GACGAACGCUGGCGGCGUGCCUAAUACAUGCAAGUCGAACGCUUCUUUCCCUCCCGAGUGCUUGCACUCAAUUGGAAAGAGGAGUGGCGGACGGGUGAGUAACACGUGGGUAACCUACCCAUCAGAGGGGGAUAACACUUGGAAACAGGUGCUAAUACCGCAUAACAGUUUAUGCCGCAUGGCAUAAGAGUGAAAGGCGCUUUCGGGUGUCGCUGAUGGAUGGACCCGCGGUGCAUUAGCUAGUUGGUGAGGUAACGGCUCACCAAGGCCACGAUGCAUAGCCGACCUGAGAGGGUGAUCGGCCACACUGGGACUGAGACGCGGCCCAGACUCCUACGGGAGGCAGCAGUAGGGAAUCUUCGGCAACGGACGAAAGUCUGACCGAGCAACGCCGCGUGAGUGAAGAAGGUUUUCGGAUCGUAAAACUCUGUUGUUAGAGAAGAACAAGGACGUUAGUAACUGAACGUCCCCUGACGGUAUCUAACCAGAAAGCCACGGCUAACUACGUGCCAGCCGCCGCGGUAA